GCCUCAAGAAAAUAUUUGGCUCUAGCUUUUCGCAUUCGGAGGUGCCGCCACCUUAGGAACUUCCGUUAUCAGAGGAAAGCGCGUUUUUGGUGUGGAUUUUCUGCAGCGGCAGUCCAGAGCUGUGGCGAAAGCGCGGCUUCGGAUCUUCCAUUUGUCCGUGGAUACCCUGAUGGGUACCCUCCAUGUGAUGCCCGGAAUGCUGUAGGAGACGUGGACGCAAGUGUUUAUAGCAUCCUUCUUGAAUGGCCCCAGACUGGAAGCAGCCCAAGUGUCCAUCGACAACAGAAUGCUCAAAUAAAUUGUAGUGUAGUUAUAUACACGGUGGAAUAUACAAUGAAACUGAAUGAGCUGCGGUUACAAGCAAGAGACUGGAUGAAUCGAAAACAAUUUUGAGCAAAGGAAGCAAGACCGAAACGUGCAAAUAGUACCUUUGUGAUUCCAAUCCUAAAAUUCAGUCAGAGUUAGGCUAAAAUGGAGCACGCUGGUGGUUCAGUGGUUAAGAAUCCGGGUUCAGUUAAGAAAACAAAGGUGGUUCUGCAGAGGGAAAUUAAUACCCUGAGCUAGUAUAAAGGUCUGCUGCUGUUGCUGCUAAGUCGCUUCAGUCGUGUCGGACUUUGUGCGACCCCAUAGACGGCAGCCCACCAGGCUCCUCUGUCCACAGGAUUCUCUAGGCAAGAGUACUGGAGUGGAUUGCCUUUUCCUUCUCCAAUAAAGGUCUAGGAAGAGCUGAAAACAGGUAGGUGGGGUAACCCUGAGCCCAACGAGCCAGCACCCCCACUACCGUGGAGGCUGGAGUUGGUUGCUUCCUCAGAGCUGGGGUGGGGUACCUGCUUUGCUUGUGAAGGAAGGGCUGUGCGGAGACCUAGAAUCAGGAAGAAAAUACAGAUAAAACAGGAGAUGCCAUUCAAAACAGAGAAGCAGACAAAUACACCGGCCUCUGCCCUCCAGCACCCAAACAGCAUUUGUUGUCCAGAGGUGAAGCCAGUGGACUAGGAAGCCUGUAUGCUCAGCCUGCAGGCCAAGCCUCUUGUGACACUGGAUGGAAGGGCAUCAGUGGUCAUGAGGGCAGAUAGGUGCCUUCCCGAGCACAUGUAGGACCCAUUUGGUCCUCAUGAGGCCCGGUGAGAAACAAGACAACAGUCCCCAAAUGGGGUUGAUGAUGCUAAGCCUCACGUCAUCAAACUAAGACCUGAUUUAAUUAUGGUUUUGGCUCUCCUAGAAAUGGAAUCUUAAAUCAGCAAAUCAGGAUUCACCUGAUAAACAUUAGCUAGCACUAGUUAGGUCGCUUGCUUUUUAGACCCCUGCCACCUCCUCCAGGAGAGUAAUCUUGCAAUAACCAACCUGUUUGGGGGCUAGUAUGACUUCUUGUUCUUGCUGCCUUCUACCUAUGAAAGGUUUUAUAUAUAUUUGGCUGUUCUGGGUCUUAAGUUGUGGCAUGCAGGGAUCUAGUUCCCUGACAAGGGAUCGAACCCGGAUCCCCUGCAUUGGGAGCAUGGAGUCUUAACCACUGGACCACCAAGGAAGUCCCCCUAUAAAAGUUUUGUACAGCUUCUUGGUGCUUCUUUCUGUAUGUUAAUUUGGAUGCUACCUGAUUUAUGAAUCAUUGAAUAAACCAGUAAGAUCUUUAAGGUUUGCUCAGUUGAAUUCUAUUCUUUGAUCGAAGCUGUCCUGUGAUCUCAGUCUUACCUGGAGAUGUUUGUUAACUUGUCCAAGGUCACACAUCUCUGGCUGCAUGCCCCCAGGGCCUAUGCUCCUACCCAUCAAGACAACUGUCUUGCCAGGCCGAAUGUGCUCAGCGCUGGAAAUAAGAGAGUUGAUGUUCGCUGUCUUUGAAAGGCUCAUGAUCAAGGUGGGGAGACAGACAUGUGAAAGGUUGUUGUCGAAUCACGCAAAUACACCGGGAUUCUUGGCCCCCGGAGGAGAAGAAUUCAAUCCGGGGCCAGAGACGAGGCUUGAUCGCUCAGAGCUUUUGUGUAAUAAAGUUUUAUUAAAGUAUAAAGGAGAUAGAGAAA